rnacentral:rRNA from 1 species
UGUAAGCGUAUACCAAAGUUGUUGCAGUUAAAACGCUCGUAGUCGGAAUUUGGCAGUUCCGGAAGUGUGCACGUCGUGUGCGCACUUUGCGGGGACUGCUUUUGUGGUCUUGCGUAGGAUGAGGCACUUUCAUUAGUGAACGUCCUCACGCAACCACUCUUUACUGUGAGAAAAUCAGAGUGCUCAAAGCAGGCAUUUGCCGUGAAUGUAUUAGCAUGGAAUAAUAGAAUAGGGCUCGGUUCUAUUUUGUUGGUUUGUUGGGACUGAGUAAUGAUUAAGAGGGACAGUUGGGGGCAUUUGUAUUCCGGCGCUAGAGGUGAAAUUCUUAGAUUGCCGGAAGACAAACUGCUGCGAAAGCGUCUGCCAAGGAUGUUUUCAUUGA